AAGAGGCAUUUAGGUGAAGGUCCACUGAUGAUGGUGUGCCAGAGGCCAGAGGACUUGAACCAGACCAAUGACUCAUUGCAAUGACUAUUUUAUGGGUGGGGCUGACUGAACUAAAGGAGCCCACUGCAUGACACACCACAGCACCCGAUGCCACCAGGAUGGAUGAAGAGGUGUUGUAAAGAUGGAGAAGCUCACACCUUUAAUCACAGUCCUUCAGAGGCAGAGGCAACAAGCUGGAAGACCUGAGUUCAAUCCCCAGGAACCACACAGUAGGAGCAAACCAAAUCCCACAAGUUGUCAUCUGACCUCCAUAAACACACCAUGGCCCGCACAACUGCAUGCUUACAUGUGCACCUCCAAAUGAAAUAAAUGAAUGUAGAAAAAU